rnacentral:rRNA from 1 species
GACGAACGCUGGCGGCGUGCUUAACACAUGCAAGUCGAACGGAAAGGCCCUGCUUUUGUGGGGUGCUCGAGUGGCGAACGGGUGAGUAACACGUGAGUAACCUGCCCUUGACUUUGGGAUAACUUCAGGAAACUGGGGCUAAUACCGGAUAGGAGCUCCUGCUGCAUGGUGGGGGUUGGAAAGUUUCGGCGGUUGGGGAUGGACUCGCGGCUUAUCAGCUUUUUGGUGGGGUAGUUGCUUACCAAGGCUUUGACGGGUAGCCGGCCUGAGAGGGUGACCGGCCACAUUGGGACUGAGAUACGGCCCAGAAGCCUAAGGGAGGCAGCAGGGGGGAAAAUUGCAAAAUGGGGGGAAGCCUGAAGGAGCAAAGCCGCGUGCGGGAUGAAGGCCUUCGGGUUGUAAACCGCUUUCGCCUGUGACGAAGCGUGAGUGACGGUAAUGGGUAAAGAAGCACCGGCUAACUACGUG